rnacentral:rRNA from 1 species
GAGUUUGAUUGUGGCUCAGGAUGAACGCUGGCGGCGUGCCUAAUACAUGCAAGUCGAGCGAACAGACGAGGAGCUUGCUCCUCUGACGUUAGCGGCGGACGGGUGAGUAACACGUGGAUAACCUACCUAUAAGACUGGGAUAACUUCGGGAAACCGGAGCUAAUACCGGAUAAUAUAUUGAACCGCAUGGUUCAAUAGUGAAAGACGGUUUUGCUGUCACUUAUAGAUGGAUCCGCGCCGCAUUAGCUAGUUGGUAAAGUAACGGCUUACCAAGGCAACGAUGCGUAGCCGACCUGAGAAGGUGAUCGGCCACACUGGAACUGAGACACGGUCCAGACUCCUACGGGAGGCAGCAGUAGGGAAUCUUCCGCAAUGGGCGAAAGCCUGACGGAGCAACGCCGCGUGAGUGAUGAAGGUCUUCGGAUCGUAAAACUCUGUUAUUAGGGAAGAACAAUAGUGUAAGUAACUAUGCACGUCUUGACGGUACCUAAUCAGAAAGCCACGGCUAACUACGUGCCAG